UGCGUAGGCGGUCUUAUAAGUCAGUGGUGAAAUCCCAUCGCUCAACGAUGGAACUGCCAUUGAUACUGUAGGACUUGAAUGCUUAGGAAGUAACUAGAAUAUGUAGUGUAGCGGUGAAAUGCUUAGAUAUUACAUGGAAUACCAAUUGCGAAGGCAGGUUACUAACAAACGAUUGACGCUGAUGGACGAAAGCGUGGGGAUCAAACAGGAUUAGAUACCCGCGUUA
rnacentral:rRNA from 1 species